rnacentral:rRNA from 1 species
UACGAAGGGGGCUAGCGUUGCUCGGAAUCACUGGGCGUAAAGCGCACGUAGGCGGCUUUCUAAGUCGGGGGUGAAAUCCUGGAGCUCAACUCCAGAACUGCCUUCGAUACUGGAGAGCUCGAGUCCGGGAGAGGUGAGUGGAACUGCGAGUGUAGAGGUGAAAUUCGUAGAUAUUCGCAAGAACACCAGUGGCGAAGGCGGCUCACUGGCCCGGUACUGACGCUGAGGUGCGAAAGCGUGGGGAGCGAACAGG